GAUGAACGCUGGCGGCGUGCCUAAUACAUGCAAGUCGAGCGAACAGACGAGGAGCUUGCUCCUCUGACGUUAGCGGCGGACGGGUGAGUAACACGUGGAUAACCUACCUAUAAGACUGGGAUAACUUCGGGAAACCGGAGCUAAUACCGGAUAAUAUAUUGAACCGCAUGGUUCAAUAGUGAAAGACGGUUGUGCUGGCACUUAUAGAUGGAUCCGCGCCGCAUUAGUUAGUUGGUAAGGUAACGGCUUACCAAGGCAACGAUGCGUAGCCGACCUGAGAGGGUGAUCGGCCACACUGGAACUGAGACACGGUCCAGACUCCUACGGGAGGCAGCAGUAGGGAAUCUUCCGCAAUGGGCGAAAGCCUGACGGAGCAACGCCGCGUGAGUGAUGAAGGUCUUCGGAUCGUAAAACUCUGUUAUUAGGGAAGAACAAAUGUGUAAGUAACUAUGCACGUCUUGACGGUACCUAAUCAGAAAGCCACGGCUAACUACGUG
rnacentral:rRNA from 1 species